rnacentral:rRNA from 1 species
AUUGAACGCUGGCGGCACGCCUAACACAUGCAAGUCGAGCGGUAGCGCGAUAUGUAGCAAUACAUAUUGGCGGCGAGCGGCGGACGGGUGAGGAACACGUAGGAACCUACCCUCGAGUGGGGGAUAACCAAGGGAAACUUUGGCUAAUACCGCAUGAUUUCGAGAGAGCAAAGCUGCCGCAAGGUGGCGCUCGAGGAGGGGCCUGCGUCCGAUUAGCUAGUUGGUGGGGUAAGAGCCCACCAAGGCGAUGAUCGGUAACUGGUCUGAGCGGACGAGCAGGCACACGGGGGCCGAGACAGGGCCCAGACUGCUACGGGAGGCAGCAGUGGGGCACAUUGGACAAUGGGGGCAACCCUGAUCCAGCGAUGCCGCGUGAGUGAAGAAGGCCUUCGGGUCGUAAAGCUCUUUAGGUUGGGAAGAAGAGUGAUGGAGGAAAGGCUAUCACUUUGACGGUACCGACAGAAUAAGCACCGGCAAACUCUGUGCCAGCCGCCGCCGUAAUAC